rnacentral:rRNA from 1 species
UCCCCUAAACCCAACAAUUUUGGCGGCCUUUAAAUAACAUAAAAGGAGUUCGCCCGGUAAUCGACAGCCCCCGUACAAUUUACUCCCCCUAAAACUAUAUUAGUUUGUAUACCGCCGUCUAGAUGACCUCUACAAAGGCCUUCUACAAUAGAAACCUCCUGUUAAGACAGGCCAUGGCACAGCUUAUGGGGGCAGUCGUUGCGACCUACAGUAAAAUAGAUUUAUAGACUUCUUGUUGUGAUACAGGCAAUCUGAAAGAGGAUUUUAUAGUAACAGAGGCUCUUUUUUCUCCUGUGGAUGUUCUACACAGGUGCACAUAUCGCCCGUCGCUCGCGGGA